ACUCCUACGGGAGGCAGCAGUAGGGAAUAUUGGGCAAUGGCCGAGAGGCUGACCCAGCCAUGCCGCGUGCAGGAUGAAGGCUUUCUGAGUCGUAAACUGCUUUUGCCAGGGAAGAAAAAAAGGGAUGCGUCCUUUACUGACGGUACCUGGUGAAUAAGCACCGGCUAACUCCGUGCCAGCAGCCGCGGUAAUACGGAGGGUGCAAGCGU
rnacentral:rRNA from 1 species